AUUCUCUCUCUUUACUUUUCUGUGAAUUUCAACGGGAAGAAUGUAUUUUCUUUAGUUAUGUUUGUUUGUAUCUGAGUUUUGAAUGGGAAAUUGCCAUGGGUUAGGAGAGAAUUGCGCGGAUUGACAUUGUAUGAGUCAAAAUCUGACCAUAGAUCUCCCUUUACCGUCAUUCUUGUCCGUUGAUUGAUUGACUGAAGUUAAUUUGUGAGGAAAAACUUGAAAAUACCACAUCGGACUAGUUAGGGUUUUUGAGAAUUUUGGGGUUCUAUAUAAAGAACCCAUUCUCCACAUUUUGAGAGACAUUUGAGCAUAUUGAAACAUCACUAUACUCAAAAGUCGAAUUACCUAGGGUUUCUAAUUAUUGAGACCUUUAACUGUUCGACUAAGUUCAAAUUUUCAAAGUUUAAUCACUUUUUCUUGCUUGUUUGUGGCUGGGAGCCUUUCUCGAUCUAAGGUUGCGCGUGAAAAAGGUAAUCUCUUGCCUUUUUUUUUUUUUUUUUUUUUUUUUUUUUGUAGUUCUUUAUAUUUAUUUAGUAGUAAUUGUGUGUUUAGCUUAUAGUUAGUCGUGCAGUGUGUUUGUUAGCUAAAUAUGUGAUUAGUUUUAGAUUAGCUCAUGCUUAGUCUGUUUAGCUAGUGGCGUAGGUUUUAAGUCUUUGUUUGCUAGUCCAUACGAGUUUAAUAUAUAGUCCUGUUGUUUAAUCUUCCUAGAUAUAAAUUGAUUGGUGUAAUGGUAGUUUGUUAAUCAAGUUAAGUGCAUAUCAGUCUUGUUUUAGGAUCAUGUGUUCUCAUUUGAUAAGUUCAAACAUGUUGAAAGGGUCUCUAAUACUUGUUUUUAUGUGGUAGUGCAAGUCCCAAACCUGUUUAAUCGAAAAUACCAGCAGGUGGAUAGGCAGUUAGUUGAUGUAUUGUCAUUCCUGUGGUUUGGUA